rnacentral:rRNA from 1 species
UACGGAGGAGGCAAGCGUUAUCCGGAAUUAUUGGGCGUAAAGCGUCCGCAGGUGGCACUUCAAGUCUGCCGUCAAAGACUGGGGCUUAACCCUGGAAAGGCGGUGGAAACUGAAGCGCUAGAGUGCGGUAGGGGUAGAGGGAAUUCCCGGUGUAGCGGUGAAAUGCGUAGAGAUCGGGAAGAACAUCUGUGGCGAAAGCGCUCUACUGGACCGCAACUGACACUGAGGGACGAAAGCUAGGGGAGCGAAUGGG